UACAGAGGUCUCAAGCGUUGUUCGGAUUCAUUGGGCGUAAAGGGUGCGUAGGCGGCGCGGUAAGUCGGGUGUGAAAGCCUGUGGCUCAACCACAGAAUUGCCUUCGAUACUGUCGAGCUUGAGACCGGAAGAGGUAAGUGGAACUGCGAGUGUAGAGGUGAAAUUCGUAGAUAUUCGCAAGAACACCAGUGGCGAAGGCGGCCAACUGGUCCGGUACUGACGCUGAGGUGCGAAAGCGUGGGGAGCAAACAGG
rnacentral:rRNA from 1 species